CCGCAACCCCGAACGAAACGCGGGAGCCCGAAGCUUUUCACAUCCAGCUGUCAUUUACAACGCGGAAGGCAGUCGCCACGUGCUGAUCAGGAUUAAUAUCCCCGUAAUUUGUCUCGGUACUUUUUACUUAAUAUCGGUUUCGUAUAUGUAUAGCUAAGCUUGAAAAUAUUCGACUGUGCUUUCGACCUGUGAAUGUAAAUCGCACCAAACCCUCUUCACGGACAGUGAUCUAUAGUUGCAGUGGUUUAAACUCCAGUGUUUCGACGAUUGUUCAAUAUUUGUUUAUUUAUUUAUUGCAUAUAUAUACAUAUAUUUUUUUUUUAUUUUUACAUUUCAUCGAUACAACUCAGCUCCUCACAACGCAUCCAUCCAAGACAAAAAAGGAUUCCUCAUGCGGCGACGAGGAAUUCGCCCUCUUGGCUCCCCUCCGCAUCAACGGUCUCUCGAAAUCAGAGCUGCUCAAGGACCCGACGUCAUGGACUAGCUACUGCCAUCG